GGCGGCCAUGAGUCUGUUGCAGCGGGCUUCCGUUACGGCGGUGGCAGCUCUGUCUGGCCGCCGCCUCGGCACUCGACUCGGAUUUGGGGGCUUCCUCACUCGUGGCUUUCCGAAGGCUGUUGCUCCUGUUCGACACAGUGGAGGCCAUGGGAAAAGACUAUUUAUCAUCAAACCUACGGGAUUCUAUGACAAGCGUUUUUUGAAGUUAGCGAGAUUCUACGUUUUCUUGACUGGGAUUCCAGUGGCAAUUAUCAUAACUCUGGUGAAUGUAUUCAUUGGUCCAGCUGAACUAGCAGAAAUUCCAGAAGGCUAUAUCCCAGAACAUUGGGAAUAUUUUCAGCAUCCCAUAUCAAGAUGGAUUGUCCGUACUUUCUAUGAUUGUCCUGAAAAGGAUUAUGAAAAAACAUUGGCCGUCCUUCAGAUUGAAACUGAAAAGGCUGAAUUACGGUUAAAGGAGAUGAAAAUACGAAACUUAAUGCGUUCGAGAGGAGAUGGGCCCUGGUAUCACUUUGACACAGUUGAUAAGGAACUUAUUGAUCAUUCUACAAAAGCAACUCCUGACAAUUAAGCAUUUUUUUCUCUAAAUACAAAGUAUAUUCUCUUUAUUGGAAAAUAAGUUAGUAAAUAUAUUCUGUAUUUUUGUUCUCCAUGAAAAAUAAAAGAGCUUCUGACAUUA